rnacentral:lncRNA from 1 species
CACAGUCCGCGGUGCACAAAGAGUUUCCCAGAAGGAAAAGAAGAGGGAGCUGAGCCGGUGCUCCGCUGUUCUCCAGCUUCGGUGUCCCUGCAUUGUCCGGCGUUGUGUGUCGUCAGGUGUCCUCUUGAGCCCCCCUCUCCUCUUAUAACUUCAAAUUGAGGCCUAAUAAACUUAAUUUCAAAUAAUGAUAGAUGCCGUGAUAUUAAUUUCAAAAAAUAAACUUCUGAUGAAUCUCUGUUAACUUUAUCCCAGGGAGUCGGCCUGGAGUUCAUGUAGAGUCGCUCGAGAUCAAGCGGAGAGGAGAGGUGCCCGAGUGGAUGCCCAUGACGUAGGAGAGCUGGAGAACGGUGAUGCAAGAGAAGGUAGAGGAUGAAGUGGGUAUCAAG